GGAGACACACGGCAGAGAGAGAAGACGCCGUGUGCACUGAAUUCACUCACAAGGAAGAGAAGUGAGAGGAAAAGGCUCCAGGCAAUCAAGACACAGAAAUGCAAUAAGACAGUAAAAUCCAACAGGUCACACCAUCAGGACCAUGUGCUCAGGAGGAACACAUUCAGAUGUGCAAUGUCCUAUUUUUCCUACACAAGUCAGGAGCAUCUUGCAUCAAGUCCCGGAGAAAGAUGAGAACAAAGCAGACACAGCACUUGGAUCACUGCACCGUUGGCCUGGGACAGGUGCCAAGCAGUCGCCUGUCCCAGCACAGCCAGCUCGCUGGCCUGCUCCCAGAACAAAGUCAGGUACACAUGGAAAUAUUUGCAGGACAUAGUGGGAAUGCUGAGCACUUUACUGCACUAUAGACCUUGUCUUUUAUAAACAUAUUCAAUUAUGUUGCACUGGGGAGGCAAAGACAAAGUCUGCACCCAAGAAGAAAACCCAUAUGGCUGAACAUCUGUAACCUGAACUUCUUUUGUUCUCCCAGACAAAAAUAAAACAUCUAAAACAGGUUAACCACCCAAAAGGGUUAAAGCUAUGACCUUAUGAAUUAAAUUGAAUCAAGAGAGAGGAAAUGUAAGCAGCAAAAGGUACAGAAUGUAUUGAGGAACAAAAGUUUUGAAGAAGAAAAAUAAAUUUUGGAAGUAUUACAGCAAAUUUUUCAUGCAAAGCAAUGCAAUAAAAACAAGUAAAGGAAGUCAGAUCCAAAAAGAGAUCAUGUUAAACUGAGGGGAAAAAUUAUGAAGAAGUCAUUUCUGUCUAACAAAAUGUUUUGUCACAUAGAAGCAGGCACUAAAACUUAGAUAAAAGUACAGGAAUCCAUGGCUUUGUAUACUCAUAUAGUCCCUCCUCAGGAACACAAUAAUUGCUGGAUUGUUCAUUGUAUGGUCCCCUCUGCAAGAACAAGCAUGAAAAUUAUUUUUGGAGGAUUUGGGACCAGAAACCCCACUGUACAAAAAGCAAGGUAACUCAGUGACACCAGAUUAAGUGGAAGAAUAGUGAAUAUGCACCUUUACAUUGAUCUCAGUACAAAAUACUCUUCCAAAGGCCAUAUAAAAAAUUACAGGUCAAAAUAACUCUGACAUAGCAAAGACAUCCCAAGUGGUAUAUUUUUCUAUGAAAACAUAAAAUUACUAAGUUUGAAACCCAGAGUUAUACUGGAAAAGAACUGUCUUUCCUCCUUCUCCACACAGUAACAUGUGUAGAAUAACUCUUGGUUAAAAGAGUUGGUUCCUUGGUUAAAAACUGCCAAGUUUCCUCAGACAGCUGCAAUCAUGCUGCCCCAGCAGGGCUGGCUGUGCCUGCUCCUGCCCUUGCUGUGUCCAGCAUUUUGGGUAUUGUACCAAUUGCACUGCUAAGGGCACUGACACAACUCCAAUGAAGCCAGUUGAAAGCAUGUCAGGUCACUUUAUACACCAUGCUAUCUCACAAGCUCAGGAGAUUCUGUCCAACAUAGUGAUUUAUUCUGAAAUAAACUUCUUAGCCUGUUCACACUCCAUUAGCUUAUGCUGCUAAUAUGUACAGAGACAAGUUAGAAGGGAAAAAGAGUAGUGGAAGUCAAUGCAAAAAUAUGUAAGAAGCAAGAGGAUAAGUCUGUAAAAAACAGGCCCAAGGAAUAAGAACAUUGAUGUUGAAAACAAUGACAGGUAUGCAAAAAUAAAUUUUGCUUACAAAAUCUAAGUGGUCAAAUGCUAAUCUAAGAUAUGUGCACAUGCUUUCCACUGAAUUCUGUAAUAGUCCAUACAUAUACCUGAAUGUGAAACAUAAAAAUGGCAAAGUUCUUUCUGCUACUGGAUGUACUUGAACUUCAUCAGGGAUAUCCAAACUUCCAUUCUGGUACAUUCCUGUAUGGCUUGGGAAAGACCACAUAUAAUGUUCCUGAAAGACAAAUACAUGGCUGAAGGAAGUGUAAAGUCUUUCAGGAGAGCUUGUAAAAAAUUAAUGAAUUGAUGUUUACCUAACACUGUGAAAACAUAAAAUGACUUAGAACUUCAUAGUGUUGAACAUUAAAACCAAUUCCUGCCAAUAAAGUUUCCUCAGUCCUACUCUCCUGUGCAGAAUCCCUGCUCUGUAAAGGCUCAUUUCUGGUUUUAUUUUCACAGACUGAAACCUGUCAGUGCUGUGCAAAUUUUGCUAACACUAUUCUCAGAGCAAACUACAGUAGGUCCCAAGGCAGGUAACUCAGAAUAUUGUUUCCAACUUGAGAGAACAAAUUGAAAGAGCAGUAUUUACAUUCUGUCACCAGCUUACUCACAGACUGUCUUGUGUAAACAUGAUCAGAUUACAACAACGUGAUGCAAAUUUAAAACCAAGGAUCCAAUCAUUUAACAGCUCCCCUUCAUUGCUCUGACCACACUUGCAGCAACACGCAAGCAAAGGCUGCCAGACUAAGGCUGAACCAACAAUUUGCUGCCAGGAGCUGGUCUAGUGAGAGAAGAGGUUAUAACAAGAGAUUAUAUUUGCUUCCUAAAGUCAUGAGGGUGUCCUUGAAAACACAUAGAGAGUCAUGUCACAGAUGUGGAGAUGACAGCCUUAUUAUUAAGUGCAGUACAGCAUGACAAAUUAUUGACCUACUUCUUAAAGAAACUUCUCUCACGGCAAUGACUUAUCCUCAUCCUUCAACACACCCUUCCAGUAUCCAAAAGUAUAAGAUACAAUCAGCAUUUCCAGCUGGACUUAAUAGUCUGAAAGGUCUUUUACAACCUAAAUUCUAUGAUUCUAUAAGGGAGUGCAGAUUUUUCCAUUAUUUGAAAUGAAAACACAAAAUGGAAAGGAUGUGUUUAUUUCACUACCACUUCAGAUUAAGUGUGAAAAGAAAGUGAUUCAGGAUAUGAAAUCAAGUCGUGGAAGCAGAGCAGAAGAACAUACAGCAGGUUUACCAUGGGCAACAAGAAGAAGAAAAAUUUUCAAGCAUUUGCAGAUGGUCAAGAACUAGACAAUCGUUGGCAAUUCCCACCUGAAGCACUAUGGGGAGAGAUGGUCAGCUAGCACCUUUUGGGCCAUGUGGCACAUGAGUGAUUCAAGUGGGGUUCCCACUCUGCAGGAGUCCCCAGUACAGGAGCUUCUAGAUCACCUGGAUCUCUGGCUGCAGGAGAAAGAGUGUCUGCACUGCCAGACUGCCAUGAGGGCCAGCAAUCCAGAAUGGGGAAGUGGGUACCACAGGAGGCACCUCUAGCUGCUAAUCACUUUUUCAACUCUUUCACUUCUGAGGCUUUUCAUACAGGGUCAGAAGUUGGUGCCUUUGGUGUGACCCUGUCUAGCCUCUCUGUAGCACCAGAGCUGCCUCCUUAGCCCAGGAAAUGCUAUGACCUCUCACCACACCAAGCUGUCAUGGCUGGGCAGCAGCAUCUUAACUCAGUUCUGGUAUUAUGGAAGAAAAUAACUACUUCUAAAUGCAGCCCAGUUUGACCAUUAGUGAAUCCCUCCCUGUGCAGACUGAGAGCUCCAUACAAACUCACAACAACCUCUGCCAAAGCACAUGCCAAUGAAAACAGCCACAUGUGGAUGGGGCUUGAUUGCUUUCUCGGUAUUAAAAUAAUGCAAGAAAGUUGAUCUGUAGAAAAAAAAAAAAGGGGCUUUUAUCCUUUUAGCAGGAUGUAUAAUCAGUGGCUAUCAGGAAUGCAGAUAAGUAAGUCUUCAGCUAACUUAGAUUCAACUGAUUUUUUUUUCCAUUAAGAUUUCAUCAAUUUUAUCAUCUGGUUAUUAAAUGCACAUUUUUGUCUUAAACCUAUUUUGAAGCAAUUAUAUGUUUAUGCUGGUAUAGAAUGCUCCUUUUAUGCUCCCAGCUAAAUUGUUGGGUAUUUCUAUGCUGUUUGUAAUUUGGUAUUCUAAAGUAGUAAUUCUGAAAGUAAAACAAAUGCACUUCCUGG